AUGAACGCUGGCGGCGUGCCUAAUACAUGCAAGUCGAGCGAACAGACGAGGAGCUUGCUCCUCUGACGUUAGCGGCGGACGGGUGAGUAACACGUGGAUAACCUACCUAUAAGACUGGGAUAACUUCGGGAAACCGGAGCUAAUACCGGAUAAUAUAUUGAACCGCAUGGUUCAAUAGUGAAAGACGGUUUUGCUGUCACUUAUAGAUGGAUCCGCGCCGCAUUAGCUAGUUGGUAAGGUAACGGCUUACCAAGGCGACGAUGCGUAGCCGACCUGAGAGGGUGAUUGGCCACACUGGAACUGAGACACGGUCCAGACUCCUACGGGAGGCAGCAGUAGGGAAUCUUCCGCAAUGGGCGAAAGCCUGACGGAGCAACGCCGCGUGAGUGAUGAAGGUCUUCGGAUCGUAAAACUCUGUUAUUAGGGAAGAACAAAUGUGUAAGUAACUAUGCACGUCUUGACGGUACCUAAUCAGAAAGCCACGGCUAACUACGUG
rnacentral:rRNA from 1 species